rnacentral:rRNA from 1 species
GAUGAACGCUGGCGGCGUGCCUAAUACAUGCAAGUCGAGCGAACAGACGAGGAGCUUGCUCCUCUGACGUUAGCGGCGGACGGGUGAGUAACACGUGGAUAACCUACCUAUAAGACUUGGAUAACUUCGGGAAACCGGAGCUAAUACCGGAUAAUAUAUUGAACCGCAUGGUUCAAUAGUGAAAGACGGUUUUGCUGUCACUUAUAGAUGGAUCCGCGCCGCAUUAGCUAGUUGGUAAGGUAACGGCUUACCAAGGCAACGAUGCGUAGCCGACCUGAGAGGGUGAGCGGCCACACUGGAACUGAGACACGGUCCAGACUCCUACGGGAGGCAGCAGUAGGGAAUCUUCCGCAAUGGGCGAAAGCCUGACGGAGCAACGCCGCGUGAGUGAUGAAGGUCUUCGGAUCGUAAAACUCUGUUAUUAGGGAAGAACAAAUGUGUAAGUAACUAUGCACGUCUUGACGGUACCUAAUCAGAAAGCCACGGCUAACUACGUG